rnacentral:lncRNA from 1 species
UGUGCUCCCUCUCCAACAUCUCUGAAACUUUCCUGUCUGCUCCCUGUUCUCAGCAGCUCAGGUUCUCCACUCUCAGACUCCUACAGACUUCAAGUGACUUUCUCACUCCCUUCUACUUGCAUACAGUUUCCAUGAGCAUGCCAGACUCAGCUGCUCCCUGGGAAGUAGGUCUCUUCAGUUGCCAGAUAUGUAUCUGAGUUAAUCCUUCUCCUGCAAGGCACAUAACAUGCAAAAUAAGAAGACACAAAGAUACCAUCUGUCCUAUUCCUGUCUCGCCCAGGACAAGAGAGGGAACAGUGACCCGUGCAGGGCUGAAAGGAAGUUUUCUGAGAAGACUAUGAAAUGGAAUAAUAUUUUGGAAACUGUGAUCCAGGGAAUGCCUUAAGAUGUGCUGCAUUUCUCCUGUGUCCCAAUGUAAUCCUGAAACCUUUGGUGCUUAAACUUAAGUGAGAGCAGUGGUCCUUGGGUGCCAAGUAAAGCAGACACUUUGCAAAGCCAUUUGUAAAAAAAGAUUCCUCAUGCUGGUAACUAUCAGGGUUGGAUUCAGUGACCUAGAGGGUGCUUGUCAAUCCCUCAGCUAAACAGAGACACUGCGGUGUAUUUUUCAAGAUAAUAAAGUGUGAAAUGUUCAUCA